rnacentral:rRNA from 1 species
GAUGAACGCUGGCGGCGUGCCUAAUACAUGCAAGUCGAGCGAACAGACGAGGAACUUGCUCCUCUGACGUUAUCGGCGGACGGGUGAGUAACACGUGGAUAACCUACCUAUAAGACUGGGAUAACUUCGGGAAACCGGAGCUAAUACCGGAUAAUAUAUUGAACAGCAUGGUUCAAUAAUGAAAGACGGUUUUGCUGUCACUUAAAGAUGGAUCCGCGCCGCAUUAGCUAGUUGAUAAGGUAACGGCAUACCAAGGCAACGAUGCGUAUCCGACCGGAGAGUGUGAUCGUCCACACUGGAACUGAGACAGGGUCCAGACCCCGACGGGAGGCAGCGGUAGGAAAUCUUCCGCAAUGGGCGAAAGCCUGACGCAGACCCGCCGAGUGAGUGAGGAAGGUCUUGGGAUCGUAAGUCUCUGUCAGUAGGGAAGAACGAAUGUGAAAGUAACUAUACACAUCCUGACGGUACCUAAUCAGAAAGCCACGGCUAACUACGUG